GGGGAGGAUACGCUGAUGGGAAAAACAAGAGUGGAACACAACAGUGAAGGUUUGGUGAAAAAGCAGACAAGCCUCUGACGCACUUCUGACGCACUUCUGUUUUAAAGUCUCCAAUGGCUCUGCGUGCUCUUGUUUCUACUGCUGUCCACUCACAGACAUCACGUAACUUCGGCACAAACUCUAAACACACAGGACUCGUGCUCCUUUUUGUCAACGAGAAAACAACUGCCACGUCAUUGAAACGGAACAAAAGAUCUCAGCUGUUGGUCAUAUUACAUGUGUACACAAGUUUUCAUGGCCAACCUGACAGCACCAGCUCUGCACGCUGAGCUCACUCUGACUGAAGGUCUGUUUAUCAGUGAAAUCAGCUGAUGUAGUAUUUAAACAUGGCUCUAGACGACACAUUGUUGGACGCAACUAGUUUGUGCAGCAUUAAUGGGAAAACAAAACAGGCAAUUCUCUACGAGGAUUGAAAUGCUACAACUGGGAAGCAAAAACAUUAUUAAUUUGUCUGAAUGUAGCAGCUUAUUCUGAUUUGUAAUUCUCUAGAUUUAAAGUGGUACUCGUACUACGUAGUAUUUUACUUACAUAAUGUUGGGGGCUUGAAAGACAGAUAUAUUAAAGAAAGAAUGGUUAAAAUGUAUGCUACAAAAGUCGAGAUAUCCUGACAUCAAGUCGUUACUUAUGGGUCUUUUCUCCAAAAACGGAUGCUACUGUACGUCCCAUAAUGCAACUUGAAAGCAUCUUUCUGUUAGACCCUGUUAAACACCCACAUUUUUCAUUUUUCUGCACUUAGGGAAUAAAAGACUUGCAGGCUUUAUUUUAAAAAAGAAAUCAUAAUUAGGGUUAUGUUCUUGAUUCUAUAAUAAAAAUAUGUUUUUGUAUUUUACAUUGCAGCUAACGGUAAGCAUCGUGAUUCCUUGUCCACUAGGCAAUGAUCAGGGUAGUACUCCACAUGAUGCAAAAAUUACAUUUAAAGUUAGUGGAGUGUCCCUUUAAGAAAUUACUGAGAAUAUGGGAAAUGUGGAAAUGAAAAGAAAAGAAUGACUUGAACACAGCAUCGACAGAUAGAUAAGUGUCCUGGCGAGCCAUAUGGCUAACCAGCACAACAACUGAUGUCACAGUUACGUGGUCUGUGCUCAUCUCUGACUGAAGGUCUCACACACUUGUUGCUAUGGACUGUUUUUCACACCAGACCACUUGAGCCUCCAUUAUUCAGAGUAAACACACAGUGAAUCCAACACUACAGACAUACUGUGUGCCUUGCAGCUUUAACGCAGGAAUACUGAAAUCUACAUAGUAUGUUCUUCUCUUUAUUAUCCAUCAUGUUCAGUCAGCUUGCACUGUAUGGAUCUCUGUUGUCCCAUUCUGUUUGUCUAUUGUGUUGUGAUUUAUUGUAGAAUUGUACAACUAGCAAAAGCAUUUUGGCAGUGUUAUUUUUGGAAGGAUAUGUCUCAAGGUCUGUUUUGAACCUCUUCAUCACAUUUUCUUAGCGUCCAAUGUGACUUAAUGUGACCUAAAUAUGUCCAACAAACAGUCCAAAACUCAAAGAAAUGUUAUCUAUGAUUAUCUAAAAAAAGCCUAAUUCUCACAGUAUAGAAGCUAUAUGUUACUCUUUUUUGCUUUACAACUGUCUUAAAGUAGUCUGGAUGACAGUUCAUUUACACACUUGGAGCAACAAGACAGGCCUGCUUGGUUCUUUCAGGGAAUGAUUGUAAAGAUUAACAAAGAAUAAGUUUACAGCAUUUCCUUUACUCUUUCAUGGCUCACUUUACACCAAAGAAUAACAGUUACUUUAGGUACUAUGAUAUAUAACACAUUGACAAUGAAAAUGCCGAUUUCUCAGUUUAAUCAAUUAGUGUAUUGCAACUCCGUGCAUAAUCAUAACACUAGAAAGGCAAAUACUGUUCAUAUAACAAUCCCUUAUCCAAAAACUAAUUUUAUGAUGAAAACUGUCCUGUAUAGAGCUAUUGUCAUCUGGAAUAACAUUCCUAUUGAAGUGCGUCAGCUUUGUAAUAAGCAGUCAUUUAAAAGAAAUCUUAGAUGUUUUGUGUUGAUGUAGGUUUUUAUAUGUUUUGAUUAAAGUAAUUAUAUUAAUAUUGUAUUAAUAUUUAGUCCUACUAUGAAUGGAAACUAGAGUGUAUGUAUGUAUGUGUUUGUGUAUGUAUGUAUAGAUAUGAAAUGUGUAUAUGUGAUUUUGUUAUGAUUGAAAUGUGUAUAUUGUUGUAAUGUAAUUUUUUUUUUUUUAGAAUGGACCCCAGGGAG